AGGGGUUAAGACAUCAAUACCUCUUCUGGGGGGGGGGGGCACAAUUCUACCCACUACAGAGGCUGUUUUCUUUUUUUUUGAAGUUUAUGUAUUGACUUUGAGAGAGACAAAGAGAGCGUGAGCAGGGGAGGUGCAGAGAGAGAAGGAGAGAGAGAGAAUCCCAAGCAGGCUCCAUGAGCUCCUGAUUAAUUGUUACCAAGUGUCAUCCGUAAAUUUCCCUUCCACUAAUAAUCCUCUCGGACGAUCUAACAACAUCCCCGGCGAGCUGGCGGUACCGAGGCUGAGUUUCUGAGACAAGGAGCGGGUGACACCGGUACCUCCAGUGACUGGCGACGGGCGGUGGACAGCGUUCAACGGAGCUGCCAUCUCUGAAAUACAAUUAUCAGUGUGAUCUGCUUAAGGAUUCAUCAUCAGCUCCUGCCUUCUGAAGACUUAAAAAAAUGCCAAGACACACAGAGAGAAAGAGACACCGCACUCUCCCCAGCGAGGCUGCCUGAGCUCGGUGAGAAAUGGUCCCGAGGAAUCAGGAGGCUGUGGGCAUUUUCCUACCGCUGGCUGCCCGCGAUUCGGACGCAUCGUGCAACGGACAGGGACAGUAAUGAAAAAGAAGAAACACAAAUGAAGUGAAUGGCCAGUCGCCUCAGGCAAAUGUCCCCUGCAGUUGCUGAUACUGUGAAAAAUAAAAAAAGUCAGCAA